ensembl:lncRNA
AGGAAGUGACAUAGCAAGGAGACUCAUAUUGAAGAAGAUGAAGAAGGAAGUGUCGCUCUCUUUUCCCAUUCCUGCUCCAGUGGCGAGAUGUGAUUCACCAGCAAGGAGGGACACCAAUAAGGCGUCCGAUAAGAUAAGUCUCAUAAAAUAUAUAGAUGUAUGAUAAUUGAGUCUGAGAUAACAGAUGAGAAUCCUAGUCAUUGGCUAAGCAGCUUUGUAACUAAUACAAGUCUCUCUGUGUAUUCAUUUGGGCCUAACUUGGGCGGGCGGCUAUGGUAAAGCUCACAUGUGGUGGGGGGGCUCAGGCAGCUUUUGGUGGAAAGAUUUAUCCUAACAGGCUCUCGUUGAGAUCAGUUGGCAGAAAGGGAAGCAAUAUAUUACUUUUGAAAAGUCAUUAUGAUUUAAAAAUUUAUACAGUAAGUUUACUGUUUUAAACUUCUCUCAAUAUAAAGAUAUAUUUUAAAGAACCAAAUUCGAUAAUCUAUAUAUUGUCCUCAAUUACUUCAUGUUCCUUUCCCUUGAUGUUAAAAAGGUUUUUGAUAUCAGACUGCAAAUAUAACUUAGUUAUAAAAUGUGAUGAGUUAGUAUUAUUAAAUAUGCAGGGAUGGCUCAACAUACAGCAAUCAAUCAAUGUAAUCAUCCACAACAUAAAAAAACUGAGAAACAAAAAUCACUUGAUCAUCUCACUAGAUGUUGAAAAGUCUUUGACAAAAUCACACACUCCUUCAUGAUAAAGGUCUUGGAAAGACCACUGAUAACAGAAACAUACCUAAACAUUAUAAAGGCAAUAUACAGCAAUAUAGCAGUCAACAUCAAACUAAAUGGAGAUAAACUCAAUGCAAUCCCCUUAAAUCAGGAGCAAGAAAAUGUUGUCUACCCUCUCCAUAUCUCUUCAAUAUUGUACUUGAAUUUCUAUCUAGAGCAAUAAGACAAAAAAGAAGGAUAUCAAGGGGGAUACAAAUUGGAAAGUAAGAAGGCAAAAUUUUACUAUUUGCAGGUGAUAUUAUAGUUUACAUAAGUGACCUGAAAAAUUCUAAAAGGCAGCUCCUACAGCUGAGAAACUCCUUUAGCACAGUGGGAGGAUACAAAAUUAAUUAAAAAAAUAAGUAGCACUAUUAUAUAUAGAUGAUAAAUGGGCUGAGAAAGAAAUUAGGAAAUAUCACCCUUUACAAUAGACACAAACAACAUAAAAUAUUUUGGGGUAACUCUCACCAAACAAGUGAAAGAAUUAUAUGAGAAGAACUUUCAAGCUCCAAAGAAAGGAAUUAAAGAAGAUACCAGAAAAUAAAAUGAUUUCUCAUGCUUGCAAUUGAUACAAUCAAUAUAGUAAAGAUGAUAAUCAAGCAAAAAAAAAAAACAAUCAAGAGAUUCAAUGCAAUCCCCAUUAAAAUCCCAGUACAAUUCUUCACAGAUCUUAAAAGAACAGUACUCAUUUUUAUAUGGAAAAACAAAAAUACAGGAGAGCCAAAACAACCCUGUACAAUAAAGCAACUUCUACAGGCACAACCAUUCCUGACUUCAUGUUCUACUGUAGUCAUAUAGUAAUGAAAACAGCUUGGUAUUUGCACAAAAACUUCAUGGUAGACCAAUAGGAUUAAAUUGAAAAACCUGAUAUAUAUAAACACUCCUAUGAACACCUCAUUUUUGUCAAACAAACCAAAAUUAUACAACAGAAAAAAGAAAACAUAUUCAAACAAAUGGUGCUUACACAAAUAAAUGCUUACAUGUAGAAGAUUACACAUAGAUCCAUAGCUAUCUCCAGGCACAAAACUUAGAGCUCAAAUUGAUCAAAUAUCUCAACAUAAACCCAGUCACACAUAACCUCCUAGAAGAGAAAGUGGAAGAUACGUUUAAACAAAUUGGUACAGGAUACCACUUUUUGAACAUAACACAAAUAACACAGAAACCCUGAUCAACAAUUUAAAAAAUAAAUGAAUGUCCUGAAAUUAAGAAGCUUCUGUAGGGCAAAGGCAUAAGUCAACAAGACAAAAUGGCAGCCACAGAAUGGAAAAAAAUAUCUUCAUCAACCCCACAUCUGACAGUCAGCUGAUUUUAAAUUAUACAAAGAACUCAAGAAGCUAGUCAUCAAAACACCAAAUAGUCCAAUUAAAAGUGGUAUACAAAACUAAAUAAUGAAUUCUCAAUAGAGGAUUCUAAAAUUUAUAAAAGACACUUAAGAAAUUGCUCAACAUCUUUAGCCUUCAGGGAAAUGACAAUCAAAACAACUCUGAGAUACCAUCUUAUAAUUUUCAGAAUGACAGAAAUUAAAUACACCAAUAACAAUUUAUGCAGGAGAGGAUGUGGACAAAGGGAACACUCCUUCAUUGGUGGUGCGAAUGCAAUCUUGCACAGCCACUUUUGAAAUCAGUAUGGUGGUUUCAUAGGGAAAUGGGAAUCAGUUUACCUCAAAAUCCAACAAUUCUUCACCUAGGCGUAUACCCAAAAGGAUGCACAUUCACACCACAAGGACAUCAAUUCAGCUAUGGUCGUGGCAGUCUGAUUAGCAAUAGCCAGAACAUGGAAGUAGCCUAGGUGCCCCUUAAAAAAAGAAUGGAUAAAGAAUAUGUGGUACAUUUAUAAAGUGGAAUACUUCUCAGUGGAAAAAAAUUGAAAUCUUGAAAUUUACAUACAAAUGGAUAAAACUAGAAGAAACUCUCCUUAGUGAGGUAACACCAACCCAGAACGACAAUCCUAAUAUGUUCUCUCAUAUAUGGGUAUUAGACAUAAGGAAAAGAGAUACAAGCCUAAAAUCCAUAACUCUAUAGUAGCUAGGAAGCAAGGAGACCUUAACAGAAACAUUCAUGGUUCCCUAGAGAAAGAAAAAGGGAAAAGAUAUUCUGAGCACUUGGGGGAGGGAGUUGGACAAAGAGGAGGGGAGAAGAGGUGUGUGGAGGAAAACAUGAAGCAUCACUAAUAUUGAGACGAGGAAAGAAUAUAGGAGAGCAAGAAAAGAGAUGCAUUAAUAGUGGGAGCCAUUAUGGUUAUAAAGGGAAAUUUGGCACUAGGAAAAUGUUCAGAGACAUACACGGGUGAAUCCAACUAAGAAUUUAAGUAAUUGUGGAGAGGCUGCCAUAAAUGCUCUUCCCUAUAUUGAGAUUGAUGACUACGUUAAAUGCGAUACUAGAGCCUUCAUACUGUUGCUGAUCUAAACCGAAGCAGACAAACUUGGCUAAACACUGAGCUGAAAUCUGGGAUCCAGUUGAAGAGAGGUAGUAGUGAUGAGCAAAGCUGUCAAGACCAUUAUGGGGAAACCCAUAGAAACUGCUGACUCAAGCAAGUAGGAGUUCAUGAACUCCAGUUGGGCAUCUAGGGUACCAGUCUACGACCAAACGAAGCUUCCAGAACACAUGUUUCAUGCAAAGUUAUUGACUUUAGUGUUUCCUCCCUCGGGGCAUUGCUUUUUCAAAUGCCCUUGCUUGCCACAUUUAAAGCAAGCUCCUGAACCUCCACCUUUCUUAGUUAAUUGUAUCAUAGCAGCUGCUAGGCCAGCAUUAGUCAGCGGACCCCCUAACUCCCUACAGACUUUUAUCCAGACUUUAAGGCCUUUAUCCUUAUAUGGAGUUAUUGCAGCUCUGCACUCUUCUGUACACUGUUCAUAAAUCAGCUGUUUGAUCAAAGGCAUAGCAGUAUCUGGAUCCCCAAACACUCUUCCUGCAGCUUCUACCAUUCUUGCCACAAAGUCUGAAAAGGGUUCCAUAGGACCUUGUAAUAUCUUUGUAUGAUUUCCAUUGACCUCACCUUUGUUAGGCAGAGACCUCCAAGCCCUAAUGGCUAUUUGAUUAAUCUGAUCAUACACUUGAGGAGGAUAUCCUGUUUGAUGCUGUGCAAAACGUCCUUGACCAAGAAGCAUGUCCACAUCCCAAUAUUGAUCACCAGCUGCGCGAUUAAUCGCACCUUGAUCAUUGGCAAACUCAAUUUGAAAAGCUCUCCAAUCCAAAUAUUGUCCUGGUGAUAAGCAAGCUUUUACCAAAUUUGUCUAAUCACUGGGUGUCAUACAGUAGUGACCGAGCGCUUCUACCUGAGCAAUUGUAAAAGCUGCCGUCAUCCCAUAGGUGCAUACCGAUUCUGCAAGAACUUUGACUAUUUUAAAGUCAAUUGGUUCAUGAUAUCUCUGUUGGUUACCAUCUGUAAAAACUGGAUAAGCCAGUGGUUGAGUAACCUGAAGCUCAGUGCGAACCGUACGCCACACUUCCGGACAGAAGGUGGAGCAACCAGGACCUCUUACUUCCUCUUUCGAGCAGUAGGGGGGAGGAGCGGUAGGGCGGUGCCCUUGCUUUACAGUCGCCAUUUUAGGACGCUGUUUUUCUGAUACUUUUAAUGAAUGUUUUUCCAUGAGCUCAAUAAUCUCUUCCUCCUCUUCCUCCAUGAUGUCCUCAUCCUCACAUAUAUCCUGCUCUGAUUCUGAAUCCUCUCCUGGUUCUUUUAACUCCUUUCUCAACCUUCCUAGAGAAGGAUAAAUUUGCUUCUUAUCCCUUUUCUGUUUCUCCUUUGAUUUCUCACUGCAAGUCGGAUAACACCACCAGAAAAUAAAAGCCCACACUGCGAUGUUAAAAAGCAGCCAAAUCACCACUAUAAUAGUGGGGUCCAUUAACUCACUCUCAUUCUGCAAAUUAAAGCAGAAGCGAGGUUUUUUACUUUCGGUUCGCUUUUGUCGCGAACAGUGUUGCUCCUUUCCGGAGACUUUACCGCCUCUUUCCCGAGGGCUUUGUUGCUCCUUUACCGGAGACUUUAUCGCCUCUUUCCUGAGGGCUUUGGUGCUCCUUUACCGGAGACCUAUCUUCUCUUUCUCGUGGACCUUGGUGCUCCUUUACCGGAGACCUAUCUCUGCAUUCACCACGGACUUUACAGUUCUACUUACCUUGGGAACUUACCCCCGACUGUGAGAAGUUCUGAUUCCCCGUACUGGCCACCACUUUCGGCGUCCACCCUUGACCAGCAAGAAAGACGCCACACCGAGGAAUCUUCUUCAAACACAGUUUAAUCGGGAACCUCUUUGCUUUGUACAAUGUACAAUGGCAGCGGCGGCAGCCGAGGGAGACGGGGCCUGAUAUAGUCUACAUCUACCAAUCACCUAACCCUAUGUGGCGCGCCAGGAUAGGUUGUCUCCAAGCAGAAUUAAGAGGAUACAUGACCUUUACCUAAUUUGGAGUUGUUUACCACAGAGAGCGCUCGCCGUCGGGUUGGCGGAGGGCGGAAACCAGCGCCAUCUUUUGGGUGCGGUAUUCUGCAGCUCCCUACAUGAUAUGAUUAGGUCAUUUGGGAGUAACUAUGGAAUUUCACUUAUUUUAAUUCCUCAUUUUUAAUUUAUUUAUGUGAAUUUUGUGCCUGUACCAUGUGGAAGCAUUUCCCAGAAAGACCAGAAAAAAGUUCCAAACCAUGAAACUAUGUAUGGAUGUUGAAAACCAAACCCUGAACGUCUGCAGAAGCAAGCCCUCACCCAGUGGCUGAUGGAACCGAGACAGAUAUCCACAGAUAUACACUGAGCUGAUAUCGGGAAUUUAGUUGAAGAGAGGGAGGAAUGAAAAAUGAAGGGGUCUGUACCACAUUGGAGAAACCCACAGAAACAGUUGGCCUGAACAAGGGAGAGCAUAUCGACUCCAGAUGCUGUCGGGGAGGCCAGUACAAGACUGAUCCAGACCCCUGAACAUGGAUGUCAAUAAGGAGGCCUCUGCACUCCAGGUCAUCUCUGCUGGUGGAUUAGCAUUUUUCCUUGGUGCAAGAAGGGACUUUGAGAGCCCAUCCCAUAUGAAGGGUUACACUCUGGCCCUAGAUACAUGGGGAAGGGCCCAGGACCAGGACAGGAAGAUUAUGUGGGCUUUGCAAAGCCCCCAUUGAGGGCCCUACCCUGCCUGGGAAUUGGUGGGUUGAUGGGAUGAGGGGUAUGCUGGAGUGGGGGAAGAGGGAUAUGGUUGAGGGGAGGGAGAUGGAGAAUGGACUUACAUGUGAAACAAGCUUGUUCCCUAAGUAGAACUAAUAAAUAAAUAAAAACCCUAACUAUCAAGUAUCCUAUCUGCUCUCCAGGGAAGGUGAGGCCUUCCAUAGAGGUUCAUCAGAGUCUAUCAUAUCCUUUGGGAUAGAUCUUAGGCCCAACCCCAUGUGUCUUGGCUCAGGGAGUAUCCCUCUAUGCAGAAUCUCCUCCCAUAGUCCACAGCUAUGCUAGGGAUAAGUAUGGAUCUACUACAGGAGGCCCCAAGGAUUUCCAAGAUUUUCUGACUGACACCCACAUUCUUGGGGUCUGGAUCAGUCCCAUAAUUCACACUGCGAGGGGAGUUAUAUAGCUUUCUUUUUUGUCACAUCAUUAAUUGGUUUUGAUAUUAGUGUAAUACUGGCAUCAUAGAAUAAAUUUGAAAGUGCUAUUACUCUUUUUAAUAUUUUCAUAAUAAAUUUUGAAUCUAUUGGUUUUAGGUUUUCUUUAGAAUUUGAACAACAUUCUGCCUUGAAUUCACACAUGCGAGGUUGUUAAUUUGAAGGUUAUUAUUGUUCUAAUUAUCAUUACUGUUAUUAGCAAUCUCCCUCUUUUUAUGAGCCUUUUUAAAUUUUUACUAGUUUAAAGUAGGUAAUUUGGAAACACUAGAAAUUCAAACUUUUCUUUUAGAUUUUAUAACU